GACGAACGCUGGCGGCGUGCCUAAUACAUGCAAGUCGAACGCUGAAGGAGGAGCUUGCCUCUCUGGACGAGUUGCGAACGGGUGAGUAACGCGUAGGGAACCUGCCUGGAAGCGGGGGAUAACUAUUGGAAACGAUAGCUAAUACAGCAUAAUAGAAGAUGUUGCACGACAUUCGCUUAAAAGGUGCAAUUGCAUCACUACUAGAUGGACCUGCGUUGUAUUAAUUAGUAGGUGGGGUAAUGGCUCAACAAGGCGACGAUACAUAGCCGACCUGGGAGGGGGGUCGGCCACACUGGGACUGGGGCACGGCCCCGACUCCUUCGGGAGGCAGCCAGAGGGGAUCUUCGGCCAUGGACGGAAGUCUGACCGGGCAACGCCGCGUGGGGGAAGGAGGGUCUCCGGUCGUUAAGCUCUGUUGUAAGGGAAGAACGAGUGUGGGAGUGAAAAGUUCACGCUGUGACGGUAUCUUACCAGAAAGCGACGGCUAACUACGUG
rnacentral:rRNA from 1 species